GCCGGGCGUGGUGGCUCACCCCUGUAAUCCCAGCAUUUUGGGAGGCUGAGGCGGGUGGAUCACCUGAGGUCAGGAGUUCCAGACCAGCCUGACUAACAUGGUGAAACCCCGUCUCUA
rnacentral:SRP_RNA from 2 species